AUAAUGUUCAGUUAUAUCAGGGUCCAGCAACAAAAACCCCGACUAAUCGGGGUUUUUUGUUAUUUGUAUUUUGUGUUGUGCAAAAUAUGAGUAAUGUUCGGGCUAUUUGAUAGGGCUAUUAGCCCUUUUUUU
rfam:Vibrio nigripulchritudo str. SFn1 chromosome, complete genome.